UUAAAACAAAAAGAAGUAAACAAAAUAUAUUAUUAUUAUUAUUAUUAUUAAGUUAAAAAGGGAACAAUAACGGCCUUUAGCGUAGUGCUAACUGCAGCUUCCGGCGAGAGAUCUGUUUGGAUGUGUCGCACCAGGAAAGAGUCAGACAAGCCGAGCGGUGAGCUUCAGCGAUGGACUGGACUGUGAAGUGAUUUAUUUUAGGACCGUCACAUCUGAGGUCCAAAUCACACAGAACCCGACGGUUCUGCUGCCAACCUCCGCCGUCUGCUCCGGCUUCGUGACUGGCGUACGAACUAACAACCAGUGUGUGGAAACACAUACGUCCAGUAAAGGUAAGGAAGAACUGAAUCCAAGUGGUUUCUGAGUGGGACUGAUUUAACUGAGACACUCUCCGUAACGUUCAUCACAGCGCUUUAUGAGCUUGUUUUUGUUUCGCUCCUCUGACUGCGAGCAAACUUGUUUAAAAGUUUAACAGAGAAAUCUGCGUCCAGCAGCAACACCAUCUGCCGUCUGCACCUGGCGUCCAAGUCGUCGGCCGAGUCUGCGGUCAAAUUAACAACACACUCCAAGACUGCAGCUGUUUUCAAACAACAUCCCUCUGUUUCUGUCUGCCGACCCCAGCAGACGCACAAUCUGAGCUGGCCAAGGCGCAGCGAGCAUCUGGGACUCGGAUCGGACCGAUUAUUCUGCCUGACUCAUCUUCUGUGAAAGAGGCAGAAAGAGAAACUCCUAGAGAUCAGUUUCUAGAAAAAACAUUGAAAUGUUGGAGCUUGAAAAGUUAAAAAUGUGCAAGAAAAUGUCAGAGAUUUGUGAUAAAUUUCACUUGUAAAUUUAUGAGUUCAAAGUCAAACAUUUGCAAAGGAAAACAUUUUGAGAUUAAUCUCAGAAAUUUUCUGAGGCAAAUGUGGAAAUUUUCUGAGCCCAUGAAGUCAAAAAUCUUUGACUUUUGGAAAUUUUC